rnacentral:tRNA from 1 species
GCYAUUUUGGCAGAAAAAUGUAAUGAUUUUAGAAUUCAUAAAUAUAUAACYCAUUUAUAUAGAUAGUA